UGAUGAACUCGACGAUGGCCACAUGGUUGAAUCCAUCAUUGACCAUGUCACCCACUCACCCACCAUUCAGCUUCUCACCAUCUACGCCGAAUGCCUCGUGGCCAACCUUCCUCAACUCUCUUUGUGACAAUCCCUCACCACCCUCAAGCUCGCCGACAUAUCCGCCGAGGCCACAACUUUUGACUUCUUUUCUCUUCAAUGCCUGUACUUUUUUGAUUGUCGGUUCGAGUGUGGGGCAGAGGAGGAACUUGAUCUUUUCAGGGGUUGUCAUAAUCUCAGAUGCUUGUGUCUGCAUGAUUGCCAGUACUAUGGCAGUGUUAAGAGCUUCAAAAUCUCUGCGCCCCAUCUUGUGGAUUUGAGUGUCUCGGAUGAGAGUGGAUGAUGUGUUUGAUUCUGACUGUGUUAUUGAGCUUUUCACGCCAAGGCUUCAAUCUUUUAGCUACCGUGAUUCUCAUCUUUAUAAUUUUUCUGCAAGGGUGAAUCUUUCCCAAGUGGAGAAAGUGAAUAUUGUUAUAAACUGUUUGACUAAGGAUACUGAUCUUUCUCUUCGGCUGAUUACGUUGUUUGAGGUGAUGAGAAGUGCAAAGUUUGUAUCUUUAUCCCUUGAUGUUAUUAAAGUUCUGUCUAUGUUUCCUGAUCUGCUGAAUGGUCGGUAUUCUCCUUUCACUAGAGCGGUGGUUUUUAAGUUAAACAUGGAUGGACGUCCUUCCUCCUAUGCUAUACCUACCAAUGUCAUGGCCUACUUAUUUGGUUGAUCUCCUUAAAUGGAAAGUUAUGGAAAGGUACGCAGCGUAAGAAUCAACUUGAUAGAAGAUGGAUUCUGAUUAACUUCCACUGUUUUACUUUUUGGAAGAUCAAGAGAUGUUUUGCUUGAGUCUAAAGUAACAAAGAACUUCUGUUUUAUGCAACACAUACGUGGCAAUGCAAAGAGGACUUGACUUAUUGUGUGUUUUUUUGCAAUGCAUGUGGCAAUGUAAAGAGUACUCACUUAUUAUUAUUAAUCUGGCAGGAUACUUGUUACUUGUUACUAAUGGUUAUUUUAUAAUCUAUUAGAUUCUUGCUAUAAUAGUCUGUCACAUCUGAUGUGGAAUUUCAAUUAUAAAUUAGCUCAAAAGUACAUGUGAAAGUGAUAAACUGAAUUGGUUUAUAAUAUUAGAUGUCUGAACUUAAUUUUCUGUGUAAA